GACGAACGCUGGCGGCGCGCCUAACACAUGCAAGUCGAACGGAGCUGAGAGAAGCUUGCUUUUCUUAGCUUAGUGGUGAACGGGUGAGUAACGCGUGAGUAACCUGCCCUGGAGUGGGGGACAACAGUUGGAAACGACUGCUAAUACCGCAUAAGCCCACGAUCCGGCAUCGGAUUGAGGGAAAAGGAUUUAUUCGCUUCAGGAUGGACUCGCGUCCAAUUAGCUAGUUGGUGAGGUAACGGCCCACCAAGGCGACGAUUGGUAGCCGGACUGAGAGGUUGAACGGCCACAUUGGGACUGAGACACGGCCCAGACUCCUACGGGAGGCAGCAGUGGGGGAUAUUGCACAAUGGGGGAAACCCUGAUGCAGCGACGCCGCGUGGAGGAAGAAGGUUUUCGGAUUGUAAACUCCUGUCGUGAGGGACGAUAAUGACGGUACCUAACAAGAAAGCACCGGCUAACUACGUG
rnacentral:rRNA from 1 species